UACGGGGGGGGCAAGCGUUGUUCGGAAUUACUGGGCGUAAAGGGCUCGUAGGCGGCCAACUAAGUCCGACGUGAAAUCCCAAGGCUUAACCUUGGAACUGCGUCGGAUACUGGAUGGCUUGAAUUCGGGAGAGGGAUGCAGAAUUCCAGGUGUAGCGGUGAAAUGCGUAGAUAUCUGGAGGAACACCAAUUGCGAAGGCAGCUCGCUGGGACGUUACUGACGCUGAGACGCGAAAGCGUGGGGAGCAAACAGG
rnacentral:rRNA from 1 species